rnacentral:tRNA from 1 species
GAGUGGCUCAGCGGUGGAGCGUCUCCUUGCCAAGGAGAAGGUCGCGGGUUCGAUUCCCGUCUCG